GGAAAUAACGGUUAUCCGUUUACUACUCCGGCUACUACUAGUAGUAGAGGUAGUUUCUAUAAAGAUAACCAUACUGAUCCUUUCAACAAUAAUGACGCCAACGGUGGCUAUAAUGCAAAUGUUGAUGAUAGAAGUUACGAUAAUGAAGGUUACGACGAAAUUGGAAAUUCCGAAAAUGCAAAUGAUGACGAAAUCGAGGUUGGUGAUCAUUUUGUCAAACUUACCAAAGUUCUGAUUUUGGAGAAGACUGACACAGCAGAAUACAUAUGCGAAGGUGUCAUACAAGUCAAUGACGAAUUGGAACAAAAUGUCGCGGAAAAAAUAUUUUUGACCGUGUUCGAUCCAGUGUCUGUCCCGGUGUCAGUUACCAUAAAAUCUGGCUCAAAGAUCACACAUCCCAACUUUCCUAUCACUUGUAUAGUGAACGGAACCCCUGAACCUCACAAAGUGUUAUUUAAAAAGCCAGACAAUAGCACUUUGAUAUGGGACCGAUAUAGUGAUCGUAUCGGUGAAACGGAACUGGAGUGUAUUGGUUCCCCAGUCCUAUAUUGUGUUUAUACGAUCAGGAACCCUGGCUCCUCUUAUGAAG